AGAGCAGUUGGGGGAGUGGUUAAGAGAGUUACGUAAGUUGGAAGAAUAAUGGAAAGCCGAAGAACUUGAAUUUGGAAUCGGAGUACACAAUAAUUAAGUUCCGUUUUAUAUACUUACAUUAUAGGCGGAUUAAUUUCGCACAUUACACCAAAGGUGAUAGGGUCGACUUGGAAAGGCUUUUUCGCCACGCGGUGUUUGACCAAAAAGGGGAUAAAAAGGGAGUGAUUAGUUGCCAAGGGGCAGUUUUUCGUUCCCGAUUUGUUUUGCCGCCGUAGGCCAUGUCGGUUUGAUUUUUGUCUGUCGUCGGUCGUCCAGCCCAGAGAUGCGACAUUUAUUAUUAUCCAGCAUGUAAUUUGACUUUGAUUUAGAAUAAAACCUGAUACACAACUUAACUUCAUCGAACUUGUCAUUCUUUGACUCCCGUCCUUUUUUUGUACGUGGGCAGCGCAAGACGGUGGGCGGCCACCGGCCGUCUUGCAAAGCUGUGCCGCUACAAAAUUGGUAGUACGGAUGGGGUCGACCGUCAUCUUCAGCAUGUUCGGGGAACGUUUUAGUCCUUCAGUCUGGUUUUACGCAUAAACACAAUGUUUAUCGGACAUUGAGAUAAAUUCAACAAGGAGAGCUUCACUUCAUGUCACCGGUUCCGGCUUAUUUUUUGUUCGAGGAUGUGAAUUGAUAUUAUUUUAACUUUAACGUUGGAGAGAGAAAUUCAGCUGCAGGGGUUGGAUUGAGCCCCCACAUCGCCCGGGUUUUCGACGUUGGGACCUUACAUGUGCCGUUGAGCUCAGGAGAAAGAACCCUUCGUCCUGGGACUCACGCGUGGCUGCAUUGUAGCGAGGAGUCGAGGGACCUGUGAAAACCACUGCAAAUAGACCUGACGGGGUAGCAUAGCUGGUUUCCACUAAAACCCUCCGGAUUAGUUGGUACCGACGAAGUCUGGUGAUUUCACAUUACACUGCGGUGAGAGGAGUCGUUUAACUGCGCGAGAAUCGUCUUGGAAGGGGCUGUAAAGGAACUCAGCAGGGCGAUUGCUUUUCCUUUGGUCGUCUCAUGAGGAUGGAUUGAGGUUAGGUACUGAAGGCCGCAGGCGCUAGUCCGGCUCGGGGAGUUGGACGCUAUCGAGGAGCUCCGAGACAUCGUUCUUCCAACCAACGCUUCGACACGGCCCUUCAUCUUCGUCAUCGACGUGGUGUGGUAGACCCUGUCUUCGAUAUCUUCGACGGUGGAAGCUGGCACUGUCGUUUGGAAGCCGAUAGCCUUGGCGAGUGAAGCAGCAGGAGUCGCUGGAAAACUACAUAUCAGACGGCAGGAUGGUGUCAAACGGAACUGGAGGAGGCAUGGGAUAUCCACCUCUGAUGGUAGUGUUGACAUCAUCCCAAAGUCUUGGUAAAUGGUAGAAAACAAGUAAUGUUUGGGUUAUUUUUUUUGUCCAUGUAAAAGGACUUGUAAAAUUUGAACAAAUGAAAAAAGGGAUUUUUUUAAACAAUUGUUAUAUUUUUAAUGUGGAAGUUUACCUUAGAGGUGCACUAUGUCAUCUGUUUGGAAGCAAAGGAUGAAUUGUACAUAAAAAAAAAAAAAAAAAAACACUGUAAAGUAAUGAUUCUGAAAGUAUAA